rnacentral:rRNA from 1 species
UACAGAGGUCCCAAGCGUUGUUCGGAUUCACUGGGCGUAAAGGGCGCGUAGGUGGCGGCUUAAGCGUGCGGUGAAAGCUCGGGGCUCAACCCCGAGUCGGCCGUGCGAACUGAGUCGCUUGAGCACUGUAGAGGCAGGCGGAAUUCCGGGUGUAGCGGUGGAAUGCGUAGAGAUCCGGAAGAACACCGGUGGCGAAGGCGGCCUGCUGGGCAGUAACUGACACUGAGGCGCGACAGCGUGGGGAGCAAACAGG